CGAUGAAACACUGGUUCUCGUACGAUCACUAAAAUUAAGCAACGUCGAGCCUAGUAAGUAAUUAGAUGGGUGACGUCUUGGCAAUGCCAGUUGCUGUAAG